GAUGAAGAACGUAGCGAAAUGCGAUAAGUAGUGUGAAUUGCAGAAUUCCGUGAAACAUCGAAUCUUUGAACGCACAUUGCGCCCCCUGGUAUUCCGGGGGGCAUGCCUGUCCGAGCGUCAUUGCUGCCCUCAAGCACGGCUUGUGUGUUGGGCCCCGUCCUCCGAUCCCGGGGGACGGGCCCGAAAGGCAGCGGCGGCACCGCGUCCGGUCCUCGAGCGUAUGGGGCUUUGUCACCCGCUCUGUAGGCCCGGCCGGCGCUUGCCGAUCAACCCAAAUUUUUAUCCAGGUUGACCUCGGAUCAGGUAGGGAUACCCGCUGAACUUAAGCAUAUCAAUAAGCGGAGGA
rnacentral:misc_RNA from 1 species